rnacentral:rRNA from 1 species
AGUGAACGCUGGCGGUAGGCCUAACACAUGCAAGUCGAACGGCAGCACAGUAAGAGCUUGCUCUUACGGGUGGCGAGUGGCGGACGGGUGAGGAAUACAUCGGAAUCUACUUUUUCGUGGGGGAUAACGUAGGGAAACUUACGCUAAUACCGCAUACGACCUACGGGUGAAAGCAGGGGAUCUUCGGACCUUGCGCGAUUGAAUGAGCCGAUGUCGGAUUAGCUAGUUGGCGGGGUAAAGGCCCACCAAGGCGACGAUCCGUAGCUGGUCUGAGAGGAUGAUCAGCCACACUGGAACUGAGACACGGUCCAGACUCCUACGGGAGGCAGCAGAGGGGAAUAUUGGACAAUGGGCGCAAGCCUGAUCCAGCCAUACCGCGUAGGUGAAGAAGGCCUUCGGGUUGUAAAGCCCUUUUGUUGGGAAAGAAAAGCAGCAGGUUAAUACCCCGCUGUUCUGACGGUACCCAAAGAAUAAGCACCGGCUAACUUCGUG